UACGUAGGGUGCGAGCGUUAAUCGGAAUUACUGGGCGUAAAGCGUGCGCAGGCGGUUUUGUAAGCCAGAUGUGAAAUCCCCGGGCUUAACCUGGGAAUGGCAUUUGGGACUGCAAGGCUGGAGUUUGGCAGAGGAAGGUGGAAUUCCACGUGUAGCGGUGAAAUGCGUAGAGAUGUGGAGGAACACCAAUGGCGAAGGCAGCCUUCUGGGCCAACACUGACGCUCAUGCACGAAAGCGUGGGGAGCAAACAGG
rnacentral:rRNA from 1 species